GACGAACCGUGCGAACGUUGUUCGGAAUCACUGGGCUUAAAGGGCGCGUAGGCGGGCUCGCAAGUCCGGGGUGAAAGCCCCCAGCUCAACUGGAGAACUGCCUCGGAUACUGGGUGCCUCGAGGGUGGUAGGGGUAUGCGGAACUAUCGGUGGAGCGGUGAAAUGCGUUGAUAUCGAUAGGAACUCCGGUGGCGAAGGCGGCAUACUGGACCACAUCUGACGCUGAGGCGCGAAAGCCAGGGGAGCAAACGGG
rnacentral:rRNA from 1 species